AUGUCCCAGGCCUGGCACCUUCCCAGGGGCCUCCAGAGAGGGGGUGCUGAGGUGGGAGUGGGUGGGUAUGGCCAGCUGUGUGACCCAGCCUCCACCAAGGCCCCAUCAGUCUUUCCCCUGGCCCCCGGCUGUGGGACCACACCCGAAUCCAAGGUGGCCCUGGCCUGCCUGGUCGCCAACUACUUCCCAGAGCCAGUGACGGUGUCCUGGAACUCUGGAGCCCUGUCUGGGGCACACACUUUUCCGGCCGUCCUGCAGUCGUCUGGCCUGUACUCCCUCACCAGCACGGUGACCGUGCCCGCCCCCUGGACCAGACGACCCUACGUCUGCAAUGUCGCCCACCCAGCCAGCAACACCAAAGUGGACAAGAAGAUCGUGCCACGCCACCCAGAUGUGUGCUCCGAAUUCAAAUCCAGGUGCCUAGCUCCUGAGCUCAUAGGAGGGCCGUCCAUCUUCAUCUUCCCCCCCAAGCCCAAGGACACCCUCAUGAUCUCCCGAUCCCCCGAAGUGACAUGCCUGGUGGUAGACCUGGGCCAGGACAACCUUGAGGUAGAGUUCAGCUGGUUCGUGGAUGGCAAACAGGUACACAAAGCCAAGACCAGCGUUCAGGAGGAGCAGUUCAACAGCACAUACCGUGUGGUCAGCACACUCCCCAUCACACAGCAGGACUGGCUCAAGGGCAAAGAAUUCAAGUGCAAGGUCAACAAUAGUGCCCUCCCCACACCUGUUGAAAAGGUCAUCUCCAAGGCCAAAGGGCAGCCCCAUGAGCCACAGGUGUAUGUCCUGCCCCCACACCAAGAUGAGCUGACCGAGGACAAGGUCACCCUCACAUGCCUGGUGAAGGGAUUUUACCCAUCUGACAUUGAUGUUACAUGGCAGAGGAACCAGCAGCCAGAGCCUGAGAACAGCUAUGAGAAUACUGAAGCCCAUCUUGAGGCUAAUGGGACCUUCUUCCUGUACAGCAAGCUCACAGUGCCCAAGGACAGAUGGCAGCAAGGAGACACCUACUCCUGCGUGGUGCUGCAUGAGACGCUGCCCAGCCACCGCAUCCAGAAGACCAUCUCCCUGUCUCCUGAGCUGCACCCAGAGGAGAGCUGUGCAGAGGCUCAGGAUGGGGAGCUGGAUGGGCUGUGGACCACCAUCUCCAUCUUCAUCACGCUCUUCCUGCUCAGCGUGUGCUACAGUGCCACCAUCACCUUCUUCAAGGUCAAGUGGAUCUUCUCCUCGGUGGUGGAGCUGAAGCGGACCAUUGCCCCCGACUACAGGAAUAUGAUCGGGCAGGCUGCCUAGGGGCUGCUGAGAGAGGAACACAUAGAAGCCGAACCCACCACAGGCUUCAGUGGCUCCAACCUCCACCCAAGCUCAACCCGGCCCUCUGAUCUCACUGCUCCUGACUGCUCUCUGCUCUCUGACCAUUCUGUCUCAUUUCCCUCCUGUCAGGGAACCUGGUGGACAGCAGGUUCUCCCCCAGAUCCAGCAGCCUGGAUGUCCCGCUACCCCAUACCUAGAUAGCAUUUACAGCAGCACAAGGAGCGCCGGUGGGGUCAUCGCAUUGGGAGUCUCUCAGAGUCAGCUGUGUAUGUCCAUUCUGGAGCAGGGGAUGGGCCAGUAUUCCCCAUGUCCAUUUGGAGCAGGGACCUGAGUUCAAACCCCACCCUGGGCCUGGCUCAGAGAGACACCAAAUCUCAAAGAUUCUUGGUGGAGACAUCAUGUGCCAAGGCAGGGGAGCCACUGACCAUCACACCCAGCAGGGAUGCUCACUGGGAAGUGCUGCAACCUUCACCAAAAGGCCCUUCCUCUGGCCUUCACCUGGCCAGUUCCUCCCUGGGAGGCCACAGGGAUUCCCCCAUCACUUCUAUGACCCUGGCCUGAGGAAUAGGCUCCUUUUCAUUUUGAACUGGAAAGUUGGUCUCUGGCUGUUGGGAAGGGGCUUUCCAUCCAAUCCUGGCUUCCCACACAGUGCUUUUAGAAGUGGGGUUCAACCCAAGGGACAGAAGCUCCCAGCCUCUGCCUGCCUGGGGGCCAGGUGAGGGGCUUGGCCCGGGAUGUCCACCAUCUCCCAGCCACCAGCCCAGUUCUAGCUCAUGGCCCAGACUUGCCGCCAUCCGAGAGACCACCUGAGAAGGCCUGGGCCAUACCCAUGGACACUGCAGGGUCUGGUUGAGGGUGGGCAUCUGUGCCAAUCAGGAAGGGCAUCAGGUCUGAGAGGUCAGUGGCUGGACAGCCUCCUGGAGAGAGGCCUGGUGACCAGUGCCUCAGGUGGUCAGGGCAUGCCUUGGAAGGCCACCUCUAUGGGCCCCUGGACAGAGGGGGCCAAAGACAAAGAGAAUGGAGGCAAGGAAAGUGACCAGAUGCUAGGAGUGGGCAUCUGGCAAACAACACUGAUGGGGAGCUGGGCCAGCCCAGCCACAGGCACUGCACAGAGGUCCCGGGGCCAAGCAUUGCCACCCCUCUGGGCUCCCUGUCUCCCAUCUUCCCUUCCAGCAAAUACUCAGCAGAGUCACACCACAAAGGAACCAGAGUGCUGAGCCCAUAUUCAAGUGGGAAGAAGAAUGAUGCAAAUGGAAGCAAACCACACCAAAGAAAUGCCACAUCCAUCAGCUUUGUAGCUUCAUAUCUCUUUUUAAUUUUCUGAAUUUCAUUGAUUGUCUUUCAUGUAAAUGUGUUGUUCUUGUUUUUUAUUUACAAUAAAAUGGCCUUAAGUCGUAUGAUUUAUCAUG